rnacentral:rRNA from 1 species
ACAACUUUCAACAACGGAUCUCUUGGCUCUCGCAUCGAUGAAGAACGCAGCGAAAUGCGAUAAGUAAUGUGAAUUGCAGAAUUCAGUGAAUCAUCGAAUCUUUGAACGCACCUUGCGCUCCUUGGUACUCCGAGGAGCAUGCCUGUUUGAGUGUCAUUAA